CAGUAGCCGCGGGAAUACAGAGGGUGCGAGCGUUAAUCGGAUUUACUGGGCGUAAAGCGUGCGUAGGCGGCUUCUUAAGUCGGAUGUGAAAUCCCUGAGCUUAACUUAGGAAUUGCAUUCGAUACUGGGAAGCUAUAGUAUGGGAGAGGAUGGUAGAAUUCCAGGUGUAGCGGUGAAAUGCGUAGAGAUCUGGAGGAAUACCGAUGGCGAAGGCAGCCAUCUGGCCUAAUACUGACGCUGAGGUACGAAAGCAUGGGGAGCAAACAGGAUUAGAUACCCGUGUAGUCCCUGUCUCUUAUAC
rnacentral:rRNA from 1 species